CAGUCGCCACGGUAAUACGGAGGGUGCAAGCGUUAAUCGGAAUUACUGGGCGUAAAGCGCACGCAGGCGGUCUGACAAGUCAGAUGUGAAAUCCCCGGGCUUAACCUGGGAACUGCAUUUGAAACUGGCAGGCUAGAGUCUUGUAGAGGGGGGUAGAAUUCCAGGUGUAGCGGUGAAAUGCGUAGAGAUCUGGAGGAAUACCGGUGGCGAAGGCGGCCCCCUGGACAAAGACUGACGCUCAGGUGCGAAAGCGUGGGGAGCAAACAGGAUUAGAUACCCGAGUAGUCCCUGUCUCUUAUAC
rnacentral:rRNA from 1 species